rnacentral:piRNA from 1 species
UGGUAUACCUGUGUCCUGAGGCUCCCAC